GAUGAACGCUGGCGGCGUGCCUAAUACAUGCAAGUCGAGCGAAUGGAUUAAGAGCUUGCUCUUAUGAAGUUAGCGGCGGACGGGUGAGUAACACGUGGGUAACCUGCCCAUAAGACUGGGAUAACUCCGGGAAACCGGGGCUAGUACGGGAUAACAUUUUGAACCGCAUGGUUGGAAAUGGAAAGGCGGCUUGGGCUGUCACUUAUGGAUGGACCCGCGUCGCAUUAGCUAGUUGGUGAGGUAACGGCUCACCAAGGCAACGAUGCGUAGCCGACCUGAGAGGGUGAUCGGCCACACUGGGACUGAGACACGGCCCAGACUCCUACGGGAGGCAGCAGUAGGGAAUCUUCCGCAAUGGACGAAAGUCUGACGGAGCAACGCCGCGUGAGUGAUGAAGGCUUUCGGGUCGUAAAACUUUGUUGUUAGGGAAGAACAAGUGCUAGUUGAAUAAGCUGGCACCUUGACGGUACCUAACCAGAAAGCCACGGCUAACUACGUGCCAGCCGCCGCAGUAA
rnacentral:rRNA from 1 species